UACGGGGGGGGCAAGCGUUGUUCGGAAUUACUGGGCGUAAAGGGCGCGUAGGCGGCCUGCUAAGUCACACGUGAAAUCCCUCGGCUCAACCGGGGAACUGCGUGUGAUACUGGCGGGCUUGAAUUCGGGAGAUGGAUGUGGAAUUCCAGGUGUAGCGGUGAAAUGCGUAGAUAUCUGGAGGAACACCGGUGGCGAAGGCGGGUCUCUGGGCAAUAACUGACGCUGAGGAGCGAAAGCGUGGGGAGCGAACAGG
rnacentral:rRNA from 1 species